rnacentral:rRNA from 1 species
CAGUCGCCGCGGUAAUACGGAGGGUGCAAGCGUUAAUCGGAAUUACUGGGCGUAAAGCGCACGCAGGCGGUCUGACAAGUCAGAUGUGAAAUCCCCGGGCUUAACCUGGGAACUGCAUUUGAAACUGUCAGGCUGGAGUCUUGUAGAGGGGGGUGGAAUUCCAGGUGUAGCGGUGAAAUGCGUAGAGAUCUGGAGGAAUACCGGUGGCGAAGGCGGCCCCCUGGACAAAGACUGACGCUCAGGUGCGAAAGCGUGGGGAGCAAACAGGAUUAGAGACCCGCGUAGUCCCUGUCUCUUAUAC